UCCCUGGUGGCUCAGAGGGUAAAGCGUCUGCCUGCAAUGCGGGAGACUCGGGUUCAAUCCCUGGGUCGGGAA
rfam:Ovis aries breed Texel chromosome 1, whole genome shotgun sequence.